GGCAGUGGAAGGGCAGUCUAGCUGCCACAUCUUUCGCCCGUUGAUUCUCCAGAGUUGAUUGUGCUCAUCUGACUUGCUAAGUGGGGUCCCGUUUUUUUUCCCCUUCACCUGUCCAUCUGUAUUCCUUGCAAAGCUCAGUCAAAAAGGGAUAACCUUCCCAUAUAGAAAAGAAAUCAUCCUCAGAUAAGGGAAUUAGAAUUGUUGAAUUCCCUGGGUACAAUUAUAAACCAGCUUGCCUAGGGUAGGGUGGGGUGGGAGUCACUUCCUUUGGUUU
rnacentral:snRNA from 1 species